ACGGGACUAGGAUUCCGACAUCAUGGGGCCAAGAGAAAUUCGCUUCUCAGAGUCUCUGGACUCCAGAGAUGGCUGGAAUGCACUGAGGCAGGCAUAAAGUCUGGGGUUUAGUCUGUUUGCAACUAGAAAGCCACACGGCUAGAGGCCAGCAGGGAUCAAAGUGGGGGGUUGCCUGUAGGCAAGUGACUGCCUGGAUCAGAUGGCCUGACAGAGUGGAAGGAUGUGGAAUCCAGAAAAACCCCGAGAAAAGGCUCGGAUUCAAGAGCACAAGACAAGCAGACAAGACGAAACCCCAGAAUGACCCUCCAAGAAGGCUCAAUUCUCCACAAGGAAGAUCAAGAAACACCACACUCUCUCCUCAGCCCGAUACGAACAAUCCCAGCCCAUAGGCCGGAGCCACUUCCCCUCUCAUCCGGGGGCCUCUUUCCUCCAGCUGAAGGCCGCGGCUACUCACCCGUCGAGUAGGGGAGCACUGGUGGGGCUCACCUUCUUCUGCUCCCGCCCAGGAUGCCCCUUCUUCUUAGAUUUUGGUGCCAUUUCUGUGGAGAAGAAGAAAAGAGGGUUCCCACCCUGCCACUGCUGGACGCUCUAUUAGAGAUUGAUGGGAAAACGGUUCUACUCUCCAUUCUCCGCUUCGACGGGCAGGAGAAAGACUGGACUCUGGAGAUUUCUUUGCCAGAAACCCGCCCGAUGCCAAGGAAGAUGGCGGCUCCCCAAACGGUGUGGGAAGAGAAGGGCCCCAAAGCAGUGCUGUCAGCUGGCCUAUUGGGCACCAGGGUCAGAGGAAUCUAUGAUGUUCUAAAACUUGCCUUUCUGGAGAGAGGCAUAUCUUCUACACUAACACACGAUAAAGGCCAACAUAUCCUCCAGCUACUGCUUUUUAUACAGAGUCCAUCCGUGGGAAUCUCUUUGGAACAAGCCCAUUCCCCCCUCCGGAGCUGUGGUGGGAAUACGCUAGUCCAAAGGCAAAGGGUAACCAAAGGCGGGUUCUUAAAAUAGCCUGCGUCCCAGAAGGAGCACGGCCGGGAAACAACCGCUGUGGCUUGGGCUUUCAGAAACCCAGGUGAGGAGCCGGCCUGCUAACCGAGAGGAGGUGGCGCAAAAGCUUAGGCAGACGCAGCACCGACGCUGCGUAAUUCACAGGCCAAGCAACCGGGAAAAACAACAAGUUCCUCAUCGAAACGGCCACUCGGCUCAAGUUGGGUUCUGUAACACGAGACGCAGGCAGAGCCGCCAACUUACUGCUGCUCCGAGAACCCAAGGAAUCAGGAAACGCCAGAGUUUGGUGUUGGGAGUCCGGAGCCCGAAACAUAAACAUGGUUCUAUGCA